CCUACGGGUGGCAGCAGUGGGGAAUAUUGCGCAAUGGGCGAAAGCCUGACGCAGCGACGCCGCGUGAGGGAUGAAGGUCUUCGGAUCGUAAACCUCUUUCAGCAGGGAAGAACGGUCACUGUGCUAAUCAGCAGUGAAUUGCCGGUACCUGCAAAGGAAGCACCGGCUAACUCCGUGCCAGCCGCCGCGGUAAUACGGAGGGUGCGAGCGUUAAUCGGAAUUACUGGGCGUAAAGCGCUCGUAGGCGGUAUGGCAAGUCAAGUGUGAAAUCCCCGCGCUCAACGUGGGAACUGCCUGUGAAACUGGCAAACUGGAGUGUGUGAGAGGCGAGUGGAAUUCCAGGUGUAGGAGUGAAAUCCGUAGAUAUCCGGAGGAACAUCAGUGGCGAAGGCGAAUAUCUGGCACAUAACUGACGCUGAGGAGCGAAAGCGUGGGGAGCAAACAGGAUUAGAUACCCUAGUAGUC
rnacentral:rRNA from 1 species